rnacentral:snRNA from 1 species
AUCGCUUCUCGGCCUUUUGGCUAAGAUCAAGUGUAGUACCUGAACUUUAGCAAUGUUUGUAUAUGAUGCAUAAUUAAUGAUAUUUGGCUAUAGCAUCCCCAGAAAAAGUGAGUCAUACAAUACUGAGAGUGCUAUAUGACUAAAGAGGUUUUCAAGUCCAAGGAAAAGCAUAUUUGCUGUCUUCCCUGAGCUACAGUAGUCUAUGUUUAAGUCAACUCUAU